AAAGAAACCAAACAGGGAUUGCCCUAGUAACGGCGAGUGAAGCGGCAACAGCUCAAAUUUGAAAUCUGGCUCUCGGGCCCGAGUUGUAAUUUGUAGAGGAUACUUUUGAUGCGGUGCCUUCCGAGUUCCCUGGAACGGGACGCCAUAGAGGGUGAGAGCCCCGUCUGGUUGGAUGCCAAAUCUCUGUAAAGUUCCUUCGACGAGUCGAGUAGUUUGGGAAUGCUGCUCUAAAUGGGAGGUAUAUGUCUUCUAAAGCUAAAUACCGGCCAGAGACCGAUAGCGCACAAGUAGAGUGAUCGAAAGAUGAAAAGCACUUUGAAAAGAGAGUUAAAAAGUACGUGAAAUUGUUGAAAGGGAAGCGUUUAUGACCAGACUUGGGCUUGGUUAAUCAUCUGGGGUUCUCCCCAGUGCACUUUUCCAGUCCAGGCCAGCAUCAGUUUUCCCCGGGGGAUAAAGACUUCGGGAAUGUGGCUCUCUUCGGGGAGUGUUAUAGCCCGUUGUGUAAUACCCUGGGGGGGACUGAGGUUCGCGCAUCUGCAAGGAUGCUGGCGUAAUGGUCAUCAACGACCCGUCUUGAAACACGGACCAAGGAGUCGUCUUCGUAUGCGAGUGUUCGGGUGUCAAACCCCUACGCGUAAUGAAAGUGAACGCAGGUGAGAGCUUCGGCGCAUCAUCGACCGAUCCUGAUGUUCUCGGAUGGAUUUGAGUAAGAGCAUACGGGGCCGGACCCGAAAGAAGGUGAACUAUGCCUGUAUAGGGUGAAGCCAGAGGAAACUCUGGUGGAGGCUCGCAGCGGUUCUGACGUGCAAAUCGAUCGUCAAAUAUGGGCAUGGGGGCGAAAGACUAAUC
rnacentral:sRNA from 1 species